rnacentral:rRNA from 1 species
UACGUAGGGUGCAAGCGUUGUCCGGAAUUAUUGGGCGUAAAGAGCUCGUAGGCGGUUUGUCGCGUCUGCUGUGAAAACUUGGGGCUCAACCCCAAGCCUGCGGUCGAUACGGGCAGGCUCGAGUUCGGUAGGGGAGACUGGAAUUCCUGGUGUAGCGGUGAAAUGCGCAGAUAUCAGGAGGAACACCGGUGGCGAAGGCGGGUCUCUGGGCCGAUACUGACGCUGAGGAGCGAAAGCGUGGGUAGCGAACAGG